rnacentral:tRNA from 1 species
CGGGGUGUAGCGCAGAUGGAAGCGCGCCGCGUUUGGGACGCGGAGGUCGGCGGUUCAAGUCCGCCCACCCCGACCA